rnacentral:tRNA from 1 species
AACGUAAUUUAAUGGUAGAAUUCCAGCUUCCCAAGCUGAUUGCACGGGUUCGAUUCCCGCCGUUC